CUCCGAGUGCGUCCGCUCUGCGCCGGGCUCGUGGCUGCGCUUGCGCGGUGGAUACCGUGAGGGCCGAGACGUCCGUGUUGAAGCUGGCUUUGAAAGGGUGGUGGUGAGAGGUAUCCUCCGGCCCGGGGUAUGCCGGUGCGUGGAGGGGUCUUCUCUGCUCACAGCCCCUGGAGAGCCCAAGUCUAGAGGCCCCAUUAACCAGAGAUGGUCACCCGGUGUGUCCUACAGAGACACCAGAGAGGUAACCAAGGGAGAGGUUUGUGUCCAGUCACGUAACAUUCAUGUGCAAAGCAGAGGACUAGACUUGUAACCAAAACAUGGAUGUGACUGGGAAGCACCAUUUGGGCAGGAUGGAUACUCCAACUCUGAUCCUAGCUUCAAGAGAGGAGGGCAAAGCGGAUUUCUUAUGAAGUGAUUACAAGAGCCAUUCUCUGUCUUUCAAGUCCAUUUCUGCAGAAGAAUUUGAAUCACCACUGGAAUGAAUGUGGUAACGAGAGAGGUUCUGUCAACAAUCUGUGACACGAGGGAAGGGAGUAUAGAAGCUGGACUGUCUGGACUACGGUUUUGGAUGGGGUUGGGGAUUUUUGUUGUUGCCAGAAAUCUCAAAGUUCAAAGAGAGUAGAAAACCAUAUUGAUUAGCUCUGGACUGGUCAAAGACUAGAUUUAUAUUUGAAUUUAACUAAUGUCUUACACAUGGUCUUUUUUGCGUUUAAAAAAUUUUGUACCUCUGGUUGUUUAAAGACUAGAGCCAGCUGAAAGCAAUUCCUCUUCUUGUCAUUUCUCCUCCAAAUCACAGCCAUUUACUAGGUAGGGAGAUAUUAAAUCUCUAGCAGCAAAGAGAGUGUGAUGAGCCUAAAUGACCCAUGAUCCCUAAAGUUCUGAUUGGCGCCACGAGUUUCAUGGCUUAUUUUUCUACCUAAACCUCCCACUCUAAAGGCCACAUAUACAGGGAUGUCUGGAGAACCAAGCUUGACCACUUGCCCAUAUGCCAAUUCAUUUUUCUCUUGCCUAGCGUAUCAAAGGUAUUUGGAUCUGUUGAUGCAAAUUUCAGCCCCAUCAGUUAAUGUUCAUUAAAAAUGUUACUAGUGUUAUCGAGUGCAUUAUGCCAAGCACUUUACACAUAUUAUUUACUUAAUCCACAUGAUACCCAUAUCAUAGAUGAGGAACCUGAGGUUCAGGCAGGUUAGAUAACUUGCCUAA